AAAGUACUCCCUCCGUCCCAAAAUUCUUGUCUUAGAUUUGUCUAGAUACGGAUGUAUCAAGUCACAUUUUAGUAUUAGAUACAUCCGUAUCUAGACAAAUCUAAGACAAGAAAUUUUGGGACAGAGGGAGUAGUUG
rnacentral:pre_miRNA from 1 species